CUAGGAUUACACGAAAAGAGAUCCUGAGUAAAAGUGCCGGGGUGUAGAUGCCCAGCAGAUGUCUGGUAGGUUAGAAGAAGGCCAUGUCUUGGGAGGGUGUUUCUGGAGGGAAGCAACGCAUGGCACUUCUACCACUAACUUGAGCACCUCCAAGGAGUAGGUGAGACAGGCUUGCAAGAAUUAUUGGACCCUUUAGGCACAGAGGUGUUGGCUUUUUGAGGAGGACUUUCUGCUUCCCUGACUCUGCAGUAGCUGCUCCUCUGCACCCAUGGGUUUUCUUCUCUUUCUGGGUCCUGUUUUCACACUUUGGUCUCAUUCACCUGAAAGUAAGCUCCCCAAGAAAAUGCUGUUGAGAAUAGGGAUUUUAAUCUGUAAAAUUUAUUGCUGCACUCCCAGCACCUAGAAUAGUAGCUAGCAUACACUAGAUAAUACACUAGAUAAAUAUUUUUGAGAAAAAUGAAUCUUAUUCAGAGCCAGGACCAAAUGUGGCAGGAACAAGCACUCUACUAGGAGUCCAGAGGCCGUAGAGUGUGUCCUUUCCCUGCUCUGCCGCUCUGGACAAAUCUAUAAAAUUCAUCCAUCUGGUAUGUCAAUAAUAUUAGAUCUACCUUGCAGGUAAUGGGAUCAUGUCAGUUGAAUCUUACUGGAUCUUUGAAGUUUAAGGGCAAUGAAACUGAUUUGAAAAGGACAAUUCCAGGAAGUUUAACUGGUCCUAGAAUUUAUAGUAGGUAAUAUUUCUAGAAAAUAUGCUACAAAUAUUCUCUCUUAGAAAUUUAAAAACAUCUUUCCAAAUUAACUUUUGGGUUAAGCAGUCAAAACUGAAAUAAGAAACCAUUUAGAAAUGAAUGGCACCACAUGCCAGAAAUUAUGGGAUGUGGCUAAAGUAGUAUUCAGAGAGCAAUUUAUAGCCUUAAAUGCUAAGGCUCCUUCUGAUGAAACCCACCCCACCCCCCACAAUGUUAGGUUCUUGGAAUGAGCACUGUUCUUGGCAUCAGAACACCAUAUCCUGCUGAGAUGCUAACUUUAGGUGAGUGUAUUUGCCUGAACCUUGGUGUACUCAUCUGUAAAAUGGGCAGAAAUACUAGGAUUACAUGAAAAGAGAUCCUGGGUAAAAGUGCUCGGGUGGUAGAUGCCCAGCAGAUGCCUGGUGGGUUAGAAGAAGGCCAUGUGUUGGGAAGGUGUCUCUGGAGGGAAGCAGUGAAUGGCACUUCUACCACUAACUUGAGCACCACCAAGGUGCUUAUUAAAAGAUAAGACUGAGAACACACAAACCAAACCAUUCAACUUGAGAAAUUGGAAAACAAAGAAUACCACCACCACCACCAACACACACACAUGCACACACACAUUAAGGAAGAAAAAGAUUUUAUCAUAGAAGAAUCUUAUGAUAGUGGGAUGCAUUUGUACCAGGGCAUUUUUUUUAAAGGAGUCACCAAUUGAUAAAUUUUCCACUAAUCGAUCAUUGUAAUUAUAUACUGCCCUUAUACAGAGUAUGAAGUUUUCUAUAGGCUACAGCCAAUCACGUUUUGUUUUAUUGGGGUCAUCCUCAGAAAAGUGUCAAUCAAAGCAGAUGGAGAGGAAGGAUUGUGGGGGAACUGACAGGCAGGUCCUGGAGGGAGCAGAGGGCUCAUUCAGCCCUUGACCAUGUGGAGAAGCAUCUUGCUGCAUGAUGUGAUUUGUAGAAUAUGGCAGUGGCAUUGACGAGGACCUGGAGCCCUGAGUGAAAUAGGCAGAGUCCUAUGGGGAUGGGGACCCUAAGCCACCAGCCAGCAUUUCCGGGGCUGAGGGAGGUCCAGGGGAACAGUGUGCUGGCUUUCUUUUCUGGUUCCAUUUAAUAAUUAGUCUGAUGACAAAUCAGGAGACCAGAGUCUGGCCUCCCUGAGCACAUCCUCCAGGCUGGAUGUUGGUGAUGGAAGACCCCUGGGAAGUCCUCUCUGGGCUCCCUCACUGGAGCAAGGAAGGCCUCAAAUGCCCCCUUCUUUAUGGAGGUGCUGACUCUGGGCUCCUGCUCAGAACAGCAGCCUAGAGAAUAGGGUCAAACACUCUCCUUCUGUUUGCUCCAUGCUGGUCUGGAGGUCUGGACAGUGUCUGCUCCCUCCUUCUGCCGAGAAGAAGCCAGGAACCAGGAAGAUUUCAAAGCCAAAGUCUUCAAGCCAUUUGUGGGGCCGCUGGACCAUGCGUGCCCUUGAUUGGGGUCAAGAGCCCCUGAGAUAUCUCAGUGUCUCCCCUUGACUGGUGAAUGCCUCGAACUGGACACAUUGCAGGGAGGUUGAAAUCUUCAGACUUCUGUGCUCCAUGAAGUCCCCACCAACUUAUUUAGUCAUCUGAAGCCUUGUUUUAUUUGUUUAUGUUUCUUAAAAAGUCUGUGAAAUGGAUACAACCGAUAGUGCCUAUAUCUCAUAGGCUGUGGUAGAAAAUUAUGUAAAGUGUUUAGAUUAAUGCCUGGUUUAUGCUAAAACAAACUAAAUGGUAACUGUAUGUAUCACCCUUUUGUGCCCUUUUCUCAUUGGAAAACAGAAC
rnacentral:lncRNA from 10 species